CAGAAUUUUCCUUCAUAGAGAAUUUAGAAAUUUUCAGGUUUUACUCCUCUUUAGAGCAAAGCCAGAUUCUGAAAUCUCUAAAUCCUUCAUAAAAUGGAAUGUCUGUCUUCUACGCUGCUCUAGUUAAAGAGAUACGUUCAGCACAUAUAAAGAAGUAAACUGUGACAAGAGUGAACCUGGCAUUUUCCCUCUGUUGGGACUGAGAGAUGAAGCCAGGGUUCAGAAAGUGCUAACAAUGAGACUUUGGUGUACAUUUCUUGGGGAAUAUCAAGGAUUCAGCAGAGCAAUCACUCAGGUCAAAAAUGCCAGUAAUUUUUAAAUAGAAAAUUUGAAAAACGAUUGAGUUUUUUUCAAAAUUGUACAUGAUAGUUUUUGUUUUUACAACAGAAAUCUGAAAUUGAAACUUUUUCUCUUUGGUAAAAAAUUUUGAGUUUUGCUGACAAACUGGGCUUCCGCCAUUUUCUUUGGGGGAUUUUCCCCACAAACUAAUAGGUCUCACCACCAGAAGUUUCUCCUGAUAUUCAGGUAAAUGUUUCCAUUGCCAGUUUGCAGCACAAAGAACAGUUGCCACCUUACUUCAUGAAGUGACAUUUCUUUGUUUGUACUCCACAAUUGUAUAGGCCCCCUUUUUUGCUAUGUCUCAUUGCAAAUUCAUGCCUAAUUUGCUGAUCAUUGUUAUAUUUUCAACAUUUCUGCUUUCCAGGACUCUCCUUCCUAUUCAAUAUCUGUUUCAAAUGAUUUUUCCCCCAAAGGUAUUUGUUUGCAUUUUUUCAACCCAAUUCUCAUUUUGUAGUUUUCUGCCCAUUUUUCUAAUCUCUUCAUGUCCCUUUUAAUAUAGCUCUGUCCUCAGUGAUAUUUGCAUGUAUCAUUUUGAUGGCUGCAAAAACUCAGGAGUUUGGCAUGUGUGAAUGGUGCCCAAGACGGUCUCAAGACGUCAGCAGAGUCCACUUAAACUUUUCCCAACAGAAUCAAUAGCUGGUAACAGGAUGCAAACAGGUCUAGGGAUGAGAGGCCUAUCUGAAUAUCAUUUACUGUGAUGAAAUAAAAACAAAUAUUUUGCUGGGAUAUACAGUACAUUCUAAACACAGGAAAUGUGGCAAUGUCAAUACUGUGGUACAGCCCUUGUGAAACUUUUCAUGGCACCUGCAAAUUUCAUUAACAUGCUCAUGUAGAUCUAGGAUGGCUUCUUCUGGGGAGUCUCUACUUUCUGAAUCAUAAUGUUUUCUUCUAUGAAUUUAGGAAUCUAUGUGCAGCGGUAUUUGUUACCCCACAGAUGUCUGGAUAGUUAAAUUUCUCCAUGAAUUUUUUGCAGUACUUCUCUUCUGGGAUUUCCAACCAGUCCAGGAUGGCAGCUUUGACAGCCUCAUACUCAGCAAGAGCAUCCUUGCUCUGGGACCAACAUGCAGCUUGGACCUCAUGUUAAAAAGAGGGACCCAUACUUCCUUCUGAGCAGCAGCAACUACCUGAUCAAAAUUGACCAGGGGGCACUUGGAGUCAACUUCUGGUCCCAUCUUGGGCUGUGUCCAUGAAUUAACACAUCUUCUCCUGGGACUGUCCAUGCUCCUUCUGUGGGGCUACAGCCUGGGCUUGCUGGUCCCCACAAAUUCCAAUAAAACCUGCUGUUGUUGCUACUAUUGCUCUUCUAUCAUUUAUCUCAUCUGCAACAGAAAGUUAAAAAAAUCCUUUGCUAACAGCACACAUGAACAGGAGCCUUUUCCAACACAGUAUGUAGAUUCCAAACUCACCCCUUCCAGAGGUUUGAUGUCAUUAAAAAAAAUUAAGAACAACAAAGGUUUGUUUCCUCAUUCUAGACUGUUCCUAGCACAUGCUAGAUCAUCUCUCUCUAGAGAGCCACUCCCACCUCCCUUAUGUCUGUCCAUCCGUCUCAAGACGUCAGCAGAUUCCACUUAAACUUUUCCCAACAGAAUCAAUAGCUGGUAACAGGGUGGAGUCUUUCAGGAAAACACUGACAGCCUGUUACAUUGCCUUAUGCUACCUCUUUGCAUUCUAUAAUAAAGAGCUCUCCCUAGAGCUGGUCAAAGAC